rnacentral:rRNA from 1 species
UACGUAGGGUGCAGGCGUUAAUCGGAAUUACUGGGCGUAAAGCGUGCGCAGGCGGUUUGCUAAGACAGGUGUGAAAUCCCCGGGCUUAACCUGGGAACUGCAUUUGUGACUGCAUCGCUGGAGUGCGGCAGAGGGGGAUGGAAUUCCGCGUGUAGCAGUGAAAUGCGUAGAUAUGCGGAGGAACACCGAUGGCGAAGGCAAUCCCCUGGGCCUGCACUGACGCUCAUGCACGAAAGCGUGGGGAGCAAACAGG